rnacentral:rRNA from 1 species
CCUACGGGUGGCAGCAGUGAGGAAUAUUGGGCAAUGGGCGAGAGCCUGAACCAGCCAAGUAGCGUGAAGGAUGACUGCCCUACGGGUUGUAAACUUCUUUUAUAAAGGAAUAAAGUGAGGCACGCGUGCCUUUUUGUAUGUACUUUAUGAAUAAGGAUCGGCUAACUCCGUGCCAGCAGCCGCGGUAAUACGGAGGAUCCGAGCGUUAUCCGGAUUUAUUGGGUGUAAAGGGAGCGUAGAUGGGUUGUUAAGUCAGUUGUGAAAGUUUGCGGCUCAACCGUAAGAUUGCAAUUGAAACUGGCAGCCUUGAGUGCAGUAGAGGUAGGCGGAAUUCGUAGUGUAGCGGUGAAAUGCUUAGAUAUCACGAAGAACUCCAAUUGCGAAGGCAGCCUACUAAACUGCCACUGACAUUGAUGCUCGAAAGUGUGGGUAUCAAACAGGAUUAGAUACCCUAGUAGUC